rnacentral:siRNA from 1 species
ACUACGUCCCUGCCCUUUGUACA